ACCCCACUGCUAUCGAGGUGGGACUAAGCCAUGCUAGUUGAGCGCACAGAACUAUGUCUGUGAGCGGCACACUGCUCAGUAACACGUAGCUAACCUACCCUUAGGACGUGGACAACCCCGAGAAAUUGGGGCUAAUCCGCGAUAGAUGUAUUGUCCUGGAAUGGUAUUACGUCUAAAGGUAUCCCAUACAUGUUUGGUAUAUGCCUAAGGAUGGGGCUGCGGCCGAUCAGGCUGUUGGUGAGGUAAUGGCUCACCAAACCUUUGACCGGUACGGGCCAUGAGAGUGGUAGCCCGGAGAUGGACACUGAGACAAGGGUCCAGGCCCUACGGGGCGCAGCAGGCGCGAAACCUCCUCAAUGCACUUACGUGCGAAGGGGCUACCUCGAGUGCCACCUGAUGAAGGUGGCUUUUCCUAGGUCUAAAAAGCCUUGGGGAUAAGAGGGGGGCAAGACUGGUGUCAGCCGCCGCGGUAACACCAGCCCCUCGAGUGGUGGGGAUGAUUAUUGGGCCUAAAGCGUCCGUAGCCUGCCGUGUAAGUUUCCCGUUAAAUCCAGCGUCUUAAGCGUUGGACCGCGGGAAAUACUGUACGGCUAGAGAGUGGGAGAGGUCAGCGGUAUUCUGGGGGUAGGGGCGAAAUCCUUUGAUCCCCGGAGGACCACCAGUGGCGAAGGCUGCUGUCUAGAACACGUCUGACGGUCAGGGACGAAAGCCGGGGUAGCGAACCGGAUUAGAUACCCGGGUAGUCCCAGCCGUAAACGAUGCAUGCUAGGUGUUGGGUUGGCCACGAGCCACCCCAGUGCCGCAGGGAAGCCGUUAAGCAUGCCGCCUGGGAAGUACGAUCGCAAGGUUGAAACUUAAAGGAAUUGGCGGGGGAGCACCACCAGGCGUGAAGCCUGCGGUUUAAUUGGAGUCAACGCCGGG
rnacentral:rRNA from 1 species